NNNNNNNNNNNNNNNNNNNNNNNNNNNNNNNNNNNNNNNNNNNNNNNNNNNNNNNNNNNNNNNNNNACGCCACCGCGGGGUUCCCAAGUGUCACCGCGGGGUUCCCAGGCGCCACUGUGGUGUCCCCAAGCGUCCCCGUGGCGUCCCCAGAUGCCACCGUGGGGUUCCCAGGUGUCCCCGUGGUGUCCCCAAGCGCCACUUGAGGGUCCCUGAGCGUCCCCGCGGCGUCCCCGUCGCGCCGCAGCGAGGUCCAGCGGAAGGUGGCCUCGCGCAGGAUGGCCCGGCGGGGGACGGCCACCGGUGCCACCGCCGGGGACGGUGGCGAGGAGGAGGAAGGCGGCGAGGAAGAGGAGGCCGGCGGCCAGCGGCGCCCGGAGGACGUCCCUUUGUCACCGGCCCGCGGUGGCGCGGGGUUGUCACCUGGGGGGGGGGCAUGGUGUCACCAAGGGGGGGCAUGGGGACACCAAGGGGUGGCUUGGGGACACCAAGGGGGGGGUUUGGUGUCACCUAGGGGUGGUGUGGCGUUACCUGAGGGUGGCCUGGUGUCACCUGGGGGUGGCUUGGUGUCACCGGGUGGCGUUGGGUUGUCCCCGAGGGUCGUUGGGUUGUCCCCGAGGGGCGCUGGGAUGCCACCAAGGGGCGCUGGGUUGUCACCAAGGGUCUUUGGGGUGUCACUGACGGGCGUUGGGUUGACACCGAGGGGCACUGGAAUGUCACCGAGGGUCGUGGGGUUGUCACCGAAGGGCGUUGGGUUGUCACCGAGGGUCGCUGGGAUGUCACCGAGGGUCGCUGGCUUGUCAAGAGUCAUGGGGAUGUCAUCGAGGGUCAUGGGGAUGUCACCGAGGGUCAUCGGGAUGUCAUCGAGGGUCAUGGGGACGUCAACGAGGGUCGCGGGGACGUCAACGAGGGUCGCCGGUUUGUCACCAAGGGCCAUCGAGAUGCCAUCGAGGGGCGCUGGGAUGUCAUCAAGGGUCACUGGCUUGUCUCCAAGGGUCAUCGGGACAUCAUCGAGGGUCAUCGGGACGUCCCCAAGGGUCACUGGGAUGUCCCCAAGGGUCACUGGGAUGUCCCCAAGGGUCAUCGGGCCGUCCCCAAGGGUCAUCGGGCCGUCCCCAGGCUUCGUCAUCUCGUCCCCGAUGACCGCCGCCUCGUCACCGCCGCCCGCCGCCUCGUCCCCGGUGGCCGUGGGCCCGUCCCCGCCCGGCGGCCGUGUCCCCAAGGUGUCCCCUUCGGCCGCGAAGCGCCGGGGGGGCCGGAUGGGGCGGGAGGAGCGGGCGCUAACGAGGGGCAUGACGAACUGCCGCAGGCGCCGCAGUAACGGGCCCUGCCGGCGCCGCCGCCGCCGCCGCUGCUGCGCC
rnacentral:lncRNA from 1 species